CAAUAAUAAUAAAUCUACCUCUAACUGUCAAUGUCUUGACAGAGAGAGAGAGAAGUAGAGAGAAGAGCAAGAAGGAGAUGGAGAAAGAGGAGGAGAAAAAGAAGGAAGAAAGAUGUGACUUUUUGUUGGAGAUGAAUCAUGUGAACCUGCCUCAAUUCCAAAGGGAAAACCAAAUUCAAAAAGCUAUAAUAAACCCCAAAAGUGGAAACCGAGAUGCAGUGCACUUUAGAGCCUCAGAACCUCCUCCAGGCAGAGUAAGACAAUGAAAACUGAAUACAAGAAUCUGCCAUCACAACUGUGGGUGAGGUUUGGUUCCGGAAGCACAGCCAGUCCAGGUUCUUGGGGUAACACUGUGGCAAAAUUCCAGUAAGACACAUCCACUGCACCUUCCUGUUCUCAUUCCCGACUGGUCUGCUGUUUUUCAUCCUUCAAUCUGAUGAUAACACUGGAUGCAUGGGAGCCACUCUGUCUUCCUGCGCCAUGCGGGGCCACAGCUAAACCCUGAGACCUAACGCUGUCCUGUUCAGUACAGAAGGCAUUCACCACUGAUGUCUGUGGAGCACUUUAAAUGUACCCAGUUGGAUUUUAGCUGUGCUGCAAGUGUAAAAUACAUACCAGAUUUUGAAGACUUAAAUGAAAAGAAAAAAAG
rnacentral:lncRNA from 1 species